AGCAGAGUGGCACAGUGGAAGCGUGCUGGCACUGUAAAUCAGAGGUCCGUGGAUCGAAACCACGCUCUCCUA